GCCUUCUUAGCUCAGUGGUAGAGCGUUGCACUUGUAUCGACGCUCCUUUAGCUGUACAUGCAAAGGUCAGUCGUUCAAUCCGGCUAGGAGGCA